UCAGGACGAACGCUGGCGGCGUGCUUAACACAUGCAAGUCGAACGGAAAGGCCCUGCUUUUGUGGGGUGCUCGAGUGGCGAACGGGUGAGUAACACGUGAGUAACCUGCCCUUGACUUUGGGAUAACUUCAGGAAACUGGGGCUAAUACCGGAUAGGAGCUCCUGCUGCAUGGUGGGGGUUGGAAAGUUUCGGCGGUUGGGGAUGGACUCGCGGCUUAUCAGCUUGUUGGUGGGGUAGUGGCUUACCAAGGCUUUGACGGGUAGCCGGCCUGAGAGGGUGACCGGCCACAUUGGGACUGAGAUACGGCCCAGACUCCUACGGGAGGCAGCAGUGGGGAAUAUUGCACAAUGGGCGGAAGCCUGAUGCAGCAACGCCGCGUGCGGGAUGACGGCCUUCGGGUUGUAAACCGCUUCCGCCUGUGACGAAGCGUGAGUGACGGUAAUGGGUAAAGAAGCACCGGCUAACUACGUGCCAGCAGCCGCGGUGAUACGUAGGGUGCGAGCGUUGUCCGGAUUUAUUGGGCGUAAAGGGCUCGUAGGUGGUUGAUCGCGUCGGAAGUGUAAUCUUGGGGCUUAACCCUGAGCGUGCUUUCGAUACGGGUUGACUUGAGGAAGGUAGGGGAGAAUGGAAUUCCUGGUGGAGCGGUGGAAUGCGCAGAUAUCAGGAGGAACACCAGUGGCGAAGGCGGUUCUCUGGGCCUUUCCUGACGCUGAGGAGCGAAAGCGUGGGGAGCGAACAGGCUUAGAUACCCUGGUAGUCCACGCUGUAAACGGUGGGUACUAGGUGUGGGGUCCAUUCCACGGGUUCCGUGCCGUAGCUAACGCUUUAAGUACCCCGCCUGGGGAGUACGGCCGCAAGGCUAAAACUCAAAGGAAUUGACGGGGCCCCGCACAAGCGGCGGAGCAUGCGGAUUAAUUCGAUGCAACGCGUAGAACCUUACCUGGGUUUGACAUGGAUCGGGAGUGCUCAGAGAUGGGUGUGCCUCUUUUGGGGUCGGUUCACAGGUGGUGCAUGGCUGUCGUCAGCUCGUGUCGUGAGAUGUUGGGUUAAGUCCCGCAACGAGCGCAACCCUUGUUCACUGUUGCCAGCACGUUAUGGUGGGGACUCAGUGGAGACCGCCGGGGUCAACUCGGAGGAAGGUGGGGAUGACGUCAAGUCAUCAUGCCCCUUAUGUCCAGGGCUUCACGCAUGCUACAAUGGCUGGUACAGAGAGUGGCGAGCCUGUGAGGGUGAGCGAAUCUCGGAAAGCCGGUCUCCGUUCGGAUUGGGGUCUGCAACUCGACCUCAUGAAGUCGGAGUCGCUAGUAAUCGCAGAUCAGCAACGCUGCGGUGAAUACGUUCCCGGGGCUUGUACACACCGCCCGUCAAGUCAUGAAAGUUGGUAACACCCGAAGCCGGUGAAGGAACCGUUGUGGGGGAGCCGUCGAAGG
rnacentral:rRNA from 1 species